UUCGCAGGGUCUUGGUGCAUUGAUUUAUGCUGGAACUGGAACAGUGGAAGGAAGUAAUUCAUCUGGAGAGUGGGAGGAAAUGGAACUAAAAACAUCUCAGGUUUAUAUACAUACCUGUGUAUGUUUUUUUUCCCCUUGUUUUGGGAAAGGAGGGGAAGGGGGUUUUUAUGGGGGGUUUAUAUGCAUACAAGCUUCUUUGUGUUGGAGACUUGGAGUGAAUCAAGGAUUGAUCAUUUCACAUAAUUCAAAAGUACAUUUGAGGAAUAAUAAUAGGAACUAAAGUCAUUUUGUUUUCUUUCUUCUUCUAUUUUUUUCUUUGUUCAAGAUUUUCAAGAUUUUCUUUGUUCUAAUUCUUAGAAUUUCAAGAUUUUAUUUGUUCUAAUCCAUAUAAUUUUAUAUUCACAUCAUUACCAAAUGCUGGCUUUUUUGAUUCGCAGGGUCUUGGUGCAUUGAUUUAUGCUGGAAUUGGAAUAGUGGAAGGAAGUAAUUCAUCUGGAGAGUGGGAGGAAUUGGAACUAAAGACAUCUCAGUUUACCAAAUUGAUGAAACUAGAGGUGCCUCUCUAUUGAUACUAAGAAACAGUGACUCGAGGACUACGAACUGUGAAGAUUAGAGGUAAAAAGACUCAGAACUACAUACUACAGUGGGGGUGAAAGCUUUUGACAAGCUUGGAGAUGGAAUGUCAUGAUUUUUGUUUGGUGAUAGGCUCGGAGAAUGAAAUAGCCUUCUUCAUUGAAGCCAGUGAAUGAUUAGAGGUAAAAAGACUAGGAACUACAUACUACAAUGGAGGUGAAAGCUUUUGACAAGCUUGGAGAUGGAAUGUCAUGAUCUUUGUUUAGUGACAGGCUCGGAGAAUGAAAUAGCCAGUGACAAGCUUCCAGUUCCAGAGCAUGACCACUUUUCUUUUUUCUUGAAUGAAUGGGACUUUGUGAAUUUAAGUUAUAUAUAUAUAUAUAUAUUGGAUGAU